rnacentral:rRNA from 1 species
GAUGAACGCUGGCGGCGUGCCUAAUACAUGCAAGUCGAGCGAACAGGCGAGGAGCUUGCUCCUCUGACGUUAGCGGCGGACGGGUGAGUAACACGUGGAUAACCUACCUAUAAGACUGGGAUAACUUCGGGAAACCGGAGCUAAUACCGGAUAAUAUAUUGAACCGCAUGGUUCAAUAGUGGAAGACGGUUUUGCUGUCACUUAUAGAUGGAUCCGCGCCGCAUUAGCUAGUUGGUAAGGUAAUGGCUUACCAAGGCAACGAUGCGUAGCCGACCUGAGAGGGUGAUCGGCCACACUGGAACUGAGACACGGUCCAGACUCCUACGGGAGGCAGCAGUAGGGAAUCUUCCGCAAUGGGCGAAAGCCUGACGGAGCAACGCCGCGUGAGUGAUGAAGGUCUUCGGAUCGUAAAACUCUGUUAUUAGGGAAGAACAAAUGUGUAAGUAACUAUGCACGUCUUGACGGUACCUAAUCAGAAAGCCACGGCUAACUACGUG